CACCCCACACCCACACAAUUCUCACACCAUUACGUGACUGUAUCGUGCAUUUUAUGCAGUUGGAGAGUCUUCUGGGAGCUAAUGAAUUUCCAUUUGGAGAGUUUGGGACAGUUUUAAUUGACGCUCUGUAAUGGGUAAAAUAGAGUGCAUAAUGUUGGGGGAGGGGGGGAAUAAAUAUCUUGUUUGUGAGGAAAAAAGAGUCAAUAUGGUGGUUGUCACAUCCACAUCAGUCAUCUUGCGGUUGAGCGGCUUUAUGGUUUUACCCUCCCACCCGUCCCAGCCCCCCCGUGGCUCCCGAGUGGCGUCGUCCCAGUCUGUCACUCAACCUGGGAAAGUGCGUGUCGCUUUUUGGCUGACAUAUAGACAGAAUUGUAUACAGGGUGUGUAUAUAAUGUGUGUUUGUGUGUGUGAUGGCGCAACCUGUGCUUUGCUGUGGUUGCAGCUGGUUGUGUUUACUGUGCGGGUCCCAAAGCGGUUCACCACAGAGGGAGAGAGACAACAUAUUUCCCCUGGCGUAAUCCUCGCUAAAUCUUCCACUCUCUUCCCGAAACGAUUUAUUCCUGCUUGGAUCGCUUUUGGUGGGCCAAGCGCGCUGGACUCUUAAUGGCUUGCACGUCUGGCCCCCGACAGUUCUGAGGCUUGGGAUGGGAUCCGAUUCUCGGCUGCAUCAUUGAAUGCGCAGAAGAAAAAAAAAAUGCUGAGCCAGUGACUUUGUCAUUGUUUAAGAUUGCAUAGGAGAGCGCCAGCGGAGUUUGCGGCUAGUCGCUAGCAGCUAGCGGCGAGUGCCUGGUGGUCUCGCGACAGCUGUUGGACUGCUCUUUAAAUCAUCAUAAUUCAUUUGUUUCAAGGCAAUAGUGACAGCGGUUCCAACCGGUCCAAUUCCGGAUGGCGAUAUGGCCCAACAUAAUGGCCCUUGGUAUCGACAAACUAUUCUGUUUAUUAAAUAUUCCAUGAAGACAAUAUUAACCAAAUUUUGACCAGUACUGGCUCAGUACUGGUUUUACUGCAAAAAAAAAUCACAAUAUAACUUAAGCUAAAAAAAAAAAAACAUUUAAAUCUACAUUUUUUGUUAACGAAAUAAAAGUGAAAGUUCUUUCGGGAUAAGAAAAA